CCCUGACAUAGGUAAGCUGAGAGUGUGCCUUGUCUUCUCAUUCUAGGGCAGGCAUUCGGUAUGAAUUGUACCAUGUCAUUGUGACAAGCAGACUGGCAGCAAUGGUUUUAUCUAACAUCAUGCCCUCUGUGUGGAUGCCUUCAGCCACCCACUCACAGUACCUGGACACAUAGGGCCUGCACUUAAUGACACCUCAGAGCCUGCUCUGCUCACAAAAGUGUCACACAGUGAGUUUCUCCCCAGGACUCCGGGCCAGAGGAUGUGAAAAAGCCUGCCAGGCAGGUAAAUCCUGAAAUAGGACACUUGUUGGGAGCCGCAGCCCCGAGCCCGGUCGCCUCACUUGGCGGACGUGAGGCCUGUAGUAAAGAGUAAAGCCUGAGGUAGAUUACCCCUCCCAUCGAGCACGUUAGUUUCCUGCUUACCGCGUAAGCAACCCGCUCAACAAUAUAGUCUGCCUGGCAACUGAUGAUGUUAGCCAAUCAGCUUGCCUUGCUUACUUUAACAUGAUUGGACACUGUAUCCGUAUAUAUACUGGUGCCACCCCUGGGGGGGAAGAAGAAGCCCGGAAGUAGAAGCCCAGAAGGAGCCGCGGGGAGCGGACCAGAGGAGGCUUCGGCUGGGAGCGAUCCCAGGGCAGGCUGUACGGAGAAGAAAAUAAAAAGAAAAGGUUGUCCACUGCCAGACUUUGUCGUGUGUCCUUCCUGCCGGCCGGGAGCGGACAUCGACAUUUGGAGGCCCGCCCGGGGACUGAUCACCCCCGCGACGUGGAAGUGGACAACGCUCCAGUACAGAGCUGCGAGACAGGAAUCGGGACGAGAACCACUGUGGAUACCGGAGAGACUGACACGGGCAACAAAGCCCUCGACUGAAGAUCAGACCUGCCCUACUGGAGAUCCAUCACAGACCAACCAACAAGAUGAAUAGAAA